UUCUCAACCAAUACAGCAACCUGUAGUUACGGAAGGUUUCGACGACCAACAGCUGAAUUUACCAACAAUUGUUUCCUCAGAAGCUUCAUUUCGAUGCACUGGAAACGAAUCGAAAUUAAAGCAACCCCAACCAAGAGUGACAAAAUUCAACGACAUACGGUACUACGAACAUCUCUUUUACUCUUUUUUUUUUAUAGUUAUGAACCAAAAAGAUGUAAUCUAUAUAUAUAUAUGUUGUUUGACAGGACGUCGACAGCAGUUAAAUCGUUUUUACAGAGUCCAGUUCCGGCAACAACAGCAUCGCGAAAAGUCUUGAAUGCUGUAUCUACUACCACAACAACAACAAGUAGUAACAUUAACAAAACACCACUUCGAAUGAGACGGCAAAAGGAAAUCAGUGAUAAUAAACCGAAUUUGAAAAGAAAAUAAAAAAUGAAGCAAGUUAUUUAUGUUUAGCAAAUUAUUAAUGUUUUUUCUUAACAGGAAGGAUGUGUAUAGAUGUUUGAACAUAUCGUGGUUAAUAUUAGGAUAGAAAAUCGAUUCAUUCAAAUCGUAACAAUAUAACAAGACAUAACCUGUAGUUUCAGAUGCGGAACGUGAGUCACGAGUUCAGGCGAGUCGCGAGUCACGGAUGUCGGAGUCGUGGAACCGCGAUUCCGCGAUGAGGAACCGCGAUUACCAACCUUCACUCGCGUGCAUACUCGUGUGCAUAAUAAAUUAAUUCUUUUCUCUUUUGGUAUCAAUUUUCACCAUGAGUGUGCCGUGUGCGGAUGUAGUGAGAAUAAUAUUAAUUUUAAUUCCAGUCAGAGUAAAUUAUAUUAAAAAAAUCCAAUAGUUUUUGACACCAAAACAUUAAUUGUUAAUUCAUCACAUGAUUCAUACCAAUUGCUUUUGCAGAUGACGUGGCUUUCUUUAGUCGAGUAAAAGAUUUCACCUUCAGAUCAACAAUUGAAGAUAAGAUUCAAGACUGGCCAUACCGUGAAAGUGUAAGACCAAUAAUAAGUGAAUAAUAAAACAAACAAUAAUUCAGUAAACUUUCUUCAAGCAAUUUCUGUGUAUAUCCCCUAUAAUUUUUCCAUUUUUU
rnacentral:lncRNA from 1 species